UGGGGAAUAUUGCACAAUGGGGGAAACCCUGAUGCAGCGACGCCGCGUGAACGAAGAAGGUAUUCGUAUCGUAAAGUUCUGUCCUAUGGGAAGAUAAUGACAGUACCAUAGAAGAAAGCUCCGGCUAAAUACGUGCCAGCAGCCGCGGUAAUACGUAUGGAGCGAGCGUUGUCCGGAAUUAUUGGGCGUAAAGGGUACGCAGGCGGUUUAAUAAGUCGAAUGUUAAAGAUCGGGGCUCAACCCCGUAAAGCAUUGGAAACUGAUAAACUUGAGUAGUGGAGAGGAAAGUGGAAUUCCUAGUGUAGUGGUGAAAUACGUAGAUAUUAAAAAGAAUACCGGUGGCGAAGGCGACUUACUGGGCUCAUUCUGACGCUGAGGAACGAAAGCGUGGGUAGCAAACAGG
rnacentral:rRNA from 1 species